CUUAACGUAUUCUGUGAUGCAAUGUUUUCGCUUAAAGUGAUUAUGUUCCAAUGAAAAUUAGUUGGCAGGACCCGCACGUUGACGACCUUGGCAGUAUAUGUGGGAGGUUGUACCCAAACUUAGGAACACGAGUUAUCUCAGGAGUGACAGAUACAGUUCACGCAGUAAGAUCCAGGAUGGCAGUACAGUAAGAAGCAGACAGGGCGUCCUUUUGUCCAAGCACUAACAGUGGAGCCGGAAGCGAGCCCUGCAGCCAGACCCCUCUCGAGAGCAGAGCCUGCCACCAGAAGCGAUCCACAGUGGAGACUGAAGCGAGCCCUGCAGCCAGACCCCUCUCGAGAGCAGAGCCUGCCACCAGAAGCGAUCCACAGUGGAGACUGAAGCGAGCCCUGCAGCCAGACCCCUCUCGAGAGCAGAGCCUGCCACCAGAAGCGACCCACAGUGGAGACUGAAGCGAGCCCUGCAGCCAGACCCCUCUCGAAUUUAAAAAUAACUUCAUAGUGACACUAAACAAGCUAGCAUAGGUUAUUUAGAUAAACUAAUGGUCUUACAAAUUAGGAGUAUUGAAAUGACAACAUAACACCUUGCCAAGCUAUGUGAAAAGAACAGACAUCAUUACAAUACUUUUCCUGCAAUGACCAGUGUGCAACACAGAUCUAUGUACUGACAUAGCAUACGUGCCUAUGAUUCAUUGUGA